CGCGCUCUUCCUCCUCCGCCGGAGCUGCGCCCCCCCACUCUCGACACCCCCCUCCUCUGCCGCGGCACAGGGCCUCCUCCGCCGCACAACCGGGCCACGAGCCACGGGCCCGCGCGAGCCAUGGGCCCGCGCGCUCGGCCCUUCCUCCACAACGCCGCCUCCGCUGUGCGCUCGGCAGCCCCUCCUCCGCCGCGCUGGCGAGGUCAGGCGCAUGGCCGGGCGGCGCACGAGCAAGCGUGCCCGCGGGGCUGCCGGCGUGCGUGCGAGGUAGCGGGAGUCGCUCCUACUCUCCAUCGCCGCGCCCGCUCAGCUGGAUCCAGAUCCGCCCACUCCUGCUCUCCUCCUGGCCACGGGCCGGCCCCGGCGGCGGCUGCCGUCCGGACGCACAGCACCGACAUGGCGAGGCUGGCCGCGCUGCGCGAGCGUACGGACAGCUCGAACAGGCGGCGCUCGUCCCCCUUCGCAACCAGGAGGCGGUGCGGCCCCGCCGCGGGCACACGGAGCGGUAGGGGCUUGCCCACUCUGCCGUGCACCACUCCGACGAGCUCCUGCCCUCCUCUUCCUCUGACGACGAGGGUGACGGCGCCUGUGAGACCGAGGUCACGGUCACCUUCAUGAAAACCACUGGCUCCCUCCUCCAAUCCUACGACAACGAGGGCGAGUGCGAAGAUGAGGUUGAGGAGGAGGACGACGACGAUGCUGCCAUCUUGCAAGUUCUUCUGGGAUUCACUCAGAUCAAUCCAAACCAAUCCGAGCUGAAUCGCUCUGCAGCCGCUUCCUGCUGAUUGUGCCCAAGGAGUAAGGAGGAGCUGGAGCCAUUGGACUUGAUCCUGUUCCUGCUGGAGUAGCACACUGGUUCUACAAGGACAACUCCGUCGAGCGCAAGCCCAACAUCAAGUCCCUCUCCUUCAACUUGGAGGACUUCACCUCCCUCUGUAAGUCUGCUUCUGCUCGAGGCCCAUCGGAGACUAUGGUUUGAUUGAUCGCUGACACCUUUGUUCUUGCGUUGUUGUGGUGGAUUGGAUUGGUUGUCCGUGCACUGUUCAAGAGCUCCCUUGCUCUCAGGCCCUACAUCAUGCACCUGGAUGACAUCUACAAGGGCUUCAACAACUACGAGUUUCGCGUCCCUGUAUCCAGCGCCAUCACUAGAUGAAACCUAUGACUAUGUUCCUCUCUACAAUUUCAGCUACAUAUAUAUUUGAUGGCUUCUCUUAAAGGUUCCGUAGACAGAUAAGUUUGUUCCUUCCAAUUUUCUCUUAAUAUGAACUACUUCGAUUAUUUGUUCUCAGAUGUAGCCAAUUCAUGUGCAGUUUCGUUGACAAGACAGAGAAGUGUUAUAAUCAAAACAUGUCUCCUGCUAUUCCAAAGGAUAAAUGGAGGAAAGGAUCUCAGUGGUAUUUUAUUUCUGUCCAUACAACUAUUUAGGACGUGGAGGCAAUAAUUCAUUGUGCAGAGUGGCUCUCACUGGAGACCAAAGAAUCAGAUGUGGCUGGUAAUUCUUCAACCAAGAUAGAAAAAUGUCACAACUAAGAGGUCUCUCUCACAUAAUAAGAAAAUCGCCAGGAAGCUGCUCCUUGAUGAAGGCACUGGAUAUGAAGAUGAUGGCUGCACAACUGACUACUAAGCCUAGGUAUCACCUGGCUUCACUUAAAACAUUAAUGGAACAGGUCAAUGAAAUAGACUGGUUAUCGGUUACUUCACUCUAAUCAUACUAAAGCUUUCAGCCUAUAUCUGUUAUGAGAUAAAAGUAGACAUAUUGACUACCCUUGGCUGUACUGGAUCAAAUUGUGGUAUCCUUUUCUAAAGUAGGAAACUUUAUAUCAUCUAAUUUUGUGAUUGCAAUGGAUCUUAUGACUGUUAAUUGUUACAUAUUUGAAGAGAGUCUUAACUCCAACACCAGUGUGCAAUUAUAAAAUAUCUGAGAUGUUCAGCAUAUCAUUGCUGCCUUGGCAUAUUUCCUCUUCAAUUAUAUGCUGAAGUGCAAACACUAGAAUUGGAGGAUCAUAAGCUGGGCCCUUCCUGAUUUGUUAUCUGAACUUAUGAAGAUUUUCGUGACCUAUAUAGCAACUUCAUUGUGAUGUCACUGUAACAUUCUUAGCUAUACUUCCUACACAUAUGUCAAACAAUCUCAUUAACCCCUAAACAAUCCUGAUUCAAUUUUGUUUUUGAAUUCUUGAGCAGAGUAGAGUAUGGAUCUUUCGGAAAGGCAUCGUCAAGUGUGAUGUGUUUGUUCCUUUAACCUAUGUUCUUUGGAGAGAUAAACAUCGGGCAGUGGGUUUGUCAAGCAUUACGAACUGAACUUGCCUCUGUUCUGGACAAGCAGCUAUGAUGCUUGCUCCCUCUGCUUGUAACUUGAACACGAGUUUCUUUCAGCAACAUUCGAUUUAAAUAUUAAACAAAUGCAUAUAGUUAAUAUGUUGAUAAUA